rnacentral:rRNA from 1 species
UACGUGAGGGUGCAAGCGUUUAAUCGGAAUACUGGGCGUAAAGCGUGCGCAGGCGGUGAUGUAAGACAGAUGUGAAAUCCCCGGGCUCAACCUGGGAACUGGCAUUGUGACUGCAUGGCUAGAGUACGGCAGAGGGGGAUGGAAUUCCGCGUGUAAGCAGUGAAAUGCGUAGAUAUGCGGGAGGAACACCGAUGCGAAGGCAUCCCCUGGGCCUGUACUGACGCUCAUGCACGAAAGCGUGGGGAGCAAACAGG